CUCUAAUCCACCGUGGUUCUUUCUCCAGAUACUGCACUGCCUUAGUUUUAUCAGGCCUGAGGAGAACCUGGAAUGUCAGUGUAGGAUGAAAAGCAGUGGCUAAAGGUAGACAAGGAGGGAAAAGCUUGACAGAAAAUGCUGAAACUUUGCAGAUUUACUAUUGGAACACACUUGGUGCCAUUCCUGGCUUUGAUAAAAGCCACACAGCCAGCUCCAGACUCUUGAUGAGCUGCAAGUCACUAUUCCAGAAAGAUGCAGCUGGUGAAGUGUUCACUGAAGCACAGCAGAAAAAUGAGUACUGCAGGAAUCUGACAGGAUAAUGCAGAGUUUUGGUGCAGUGAUUUGCAAAAUAGAUGGGACAGUGGAAAUAAAUUUUUGGUCUAUCUGGAAUUCUGAAA